UCCGCCAGGAUUCCAAUGAGUACUCUGUGUAAUCCUGUACAGUCGCUCGUGACCAAGUGCCACAGUGAACGGGGCAUUAGGUCCCAGAUCAUCUGACUGAGUCCCACCUAUGCAGAUGGAGCGUAGACUGUGACCACCGGGAUGAACGCAACAUAUCUGACGUUCCAUCGGAAGGUCAGGGCUCGCCAAUAUUAGUCCACUCGGACUACGAGCUUCACCAUUUGGCGGUCAACUUCGCGCAAUUCCAUCCUGGGUCCAGAUUCCAAUGUGACCAAAGAAGCACCUGCUGAACAUCCAGAUAUCCAGUCCUCUUCCACCAGACUGCACGUUCUGCGAUGAACACCCACAUGAUUCGAGCUUGCGCUACGUACUUCUGUACAGCUUCGAACUUAUUGGACAUCAUAGCGGGGAUCAACUUCGAACAACCCUCUUCACCGUUAGGAAGUUCUCUGAAUAAACUUUCCUUGGCAUACA